rnacentral:rRNA from 1 species
CGUGGGAAUAUGCCCUUUACUAAGGAAUAGCCACUGGAAACGGUGAGUAAUACCUUAUACGCCUUCGGGGAAGGAUUAUCGGUAAGGAUUAGCCCGCGUUAGAUUAGAUAGUUGGUGGGGUAAGUGGCCUACCAAGUCUACGAUCUAUAGCUGGUUUGAGAGGAUGAUCAGCAACACUGGGACUGAGACACGGCCCAGACUCCUACGGGAGGCAGCAGUGGGGAAUCUUAGACAAUGGGCGAAAGCCUGAUCUAGCCAUGCCGCGUGAGUGAUGAAGGUCUUAGGAUCGUAAAGCUCUUU